AGAGUUUGAUCCUGGCUCAGAUUGAACGCUGGCGGCGUGCCUAACACAUGCAAGUCGAGCGGUAACAGGUGUAGCAAUACAUGCUGACGAGCGGCGAACGGGUGAGUAAUGCUUCGGAAUCUACCCAGUAGUGGGGAAUAACCAACCGAAAGGUUGGCUAAUACCGCAUACGUCCUACGGGAGAAAGCGGGGGAUCGUAAGACCUCGCGCUAUCGGAUGAGCCGAAGCCGGAUUAGCUAGUUGGUAGGGUAACGGCCUACCAAGGCGACGAUCCGUAGCUGGUCUGAGAGGACGACCAGCCACACUGGGACUGAGACACGGCCCAGACUCCUACGGGAGGCAGCAGUGGGGAAUAUUGGACAAUGGGGGAAACCCUGAUCCAGCGACGCCGCGUGUGUGAAGAAGGCCUGCGGGUUGUAAAGCACUUUUAGUGGGGAUGAAAAGUGCAGAGCUAACACCUCUGCAUCUUGACCUAACCCACAGAAAAAGCACCGGCUAACUCUGUGCCAGCAGCCGCGGUAAUACAGAGGGUGCGAGCGUUAAUCGGAAUUACUGGGCGUAAAGCGUGCGUAGACGGUAAUGUAAGUCGGGUGUGAAAGCCCCGGGCUCAACCUGGGAAUUGCAUUCGAGACUGCAUUGCUUGGGUGCGGAAGAGGGAAGCGGAAUUUCCGGUGUAGCGGUGAAAUGCGUAGAUAUCGGAAGGAACACCAGUGGCGAAAGCGGCUUCCUGGUCCGACACCGACGUUCAGGCACGAAAGCGUGGGGAGCAAACAGGAUUAGAUACCCUAGUAGUCC
rnacentral:rRNA from 1 species